GCAGCCGCCACGGUAAUACAGAGGGUGCGAGCGUUAAUCGGAUUUACUGGGCGUAAAGCGUGCGUAGGCGGCUUUUUAAGUCGGAUGUGAAAUCCCUGAGCUUAACUUAGGAAUUGCAUUCGAUACUGGGAAGCUAGAGUAUGGGAGAGGAUGGUAGAAUUCCAGGUGUAGCGGUGAAAUGCGUAGAGAUCUGGAGGAAUACCGAUGGCGAAGGCAGCCAUCUGGCCUAAUACUGACGCUGAGGUACGAAAGCAUGGGGAGCAAACAGGAUUAGAUACCCCCGUAGUCCCUGUCUCUUAUAC
rnacentral:rRNA from 1 species